UUCGACCUGAGCUCAGGCAAGACUACCCGCUGAACUUAAGCAUAUCAAUAAGCGGAGGAAAAGAAACUAACCAGGAUUCCCCUAGUAACGGCGAGUGAACCGGGAAGAGCCCAGCUUGAAAAUCUCCAGCCCCCGGCUGGCGAAUUGUAGUCUAGAGAAGCGCCUUCUGCGGAGCUCCGGGCCCAAGUCCCCUGGAAAGGGGCGUCAGAGAGGGUGAGAACCCCGUUGGGCCCGGCCGCCUUCGCCCCACGAAGCGCUUUCCCAGAGUCGGGUUGUUUGGGAAUGCAGCCCAAAGCAGGUGGUAAAUCCCAUCUAAGGCUAAAUACCGACGGGAGACCGAUAGCGA
rnacentral:rRNA from 1 species